rnacentral:lncRNA from 1 species
UCUUAUUUCAGCAUUAAUCCUUAUUGCAACUGCGCGAUAAUACGUUUAUUAAUUUUCUUUAAAGUGAAAGUUUUUCUUUAAUUUAUUGAAAAUGUUUCGAAUGAAAUCAUCGCUCUGCAUUGCCUUUGUGGCUUUACUUUCAUGUUCAGCUGUUCUGUCAGAAUUAUGUGAAAUCACAUUUGGCAGUAACAUAAAAUGGAGUCGGCAUCCGGAAGACUGUUCGACAGCGUAUAUGUGUUUGCUUGGCAAAGUUGUGUCGUAUAGAUGUCCUGAAGGGUAUGUGAUUGGUACAGACGAGGUCACAUGCAUCCCGGCUGGUUCGCAAUUUGAUGAUUGUACUGAGUUAGAACGCAUUAAGAUAGAAGACGUUGAAAUUGAGCCACUGAAUGUUGCAUCAGUCAUGUAAAGAAGGAGAGGCUAUGCCAGACGAAAAAAAUUGUGCGAUGUAUUUAGAGUGUGUAGCUCUUCCGGAUGGGAACUCUACGAUGCUUGUCUCAAGAGUGCGCAUACCCAUUUUUGUUCAAUACACAAUCUAGAAAAUGUGAACACUUCGAAGAUGUAGACUGCCAACCAGGCCAGACUGUACCAAAAAGCCCAUGUGAUUACAAAGCUCUCCAGUGUACAUCUGCUCAAUGCGUUCCUUGUAAUAUCCGGUUUCCCACGUGCACCGGACUUCCGGACGGAAUGAACCCCUGGGUUGGUCGUGAAUGGACACCAGAUUACGUCAUGUGUGAAGAAGAAAGGGUCACUCUCCAAGGACAAUGCAAAAGUGAGAAGGAACAACGCGUUUUUCAUCCAGAUGAAAAGACAUGCGUUGAAUAUGACGUCAAAAAGAUUGUCGGAUAAGAACAAACGGACACUCUCACCGGCACCGAAUCUCAACAUACUCAUUGAACACUUAAAAUAGUUUUAUAAUACUCGAUGAAUAAAUUAUUGUUCAAAGA